rnacentral:rRNA from 1 species
CGGGGUGGAGUAAUGUCUGGGAAACUGCCUGAUGAGGGGGAUAACUACUGGAAACGGUAGCUAAUACCGCAUAACGUCGCAAGACCAAAGAGAGGGACCUUCGGGCCUCUUGCCAUCGGAUGUGCCCAGAUGGGAUUAGCUAGUAGGUGGGGUAACGGCUCACCUAGGCGACGAUCCCUAGCUGGUCUGAGAGGAUGACCAGCCACACUGGAACUGAGACACGGUCCAG